rnacentral:rRNA from 1 species
AAUCCAUAGGUUAAUGAGGCGAACCGGGGGAACUGAAACAUCUAAGUACCCCGAGGAAAAGAAAUCAACCGAGAUUCCCCCAGUAGCGGCGAGCGAACGGGGAGGAGCCCAGAGCCUGAAUCAGCAUGUGUGUUAGUGGAAGCGUCUGGAAAGGCGCGCGAUACAGGGUGACAGCCCCGUACACAAAAGCGCAUGUGCUGUGAGCUCGAUGAGUAGGGCGGGACACGUGGUAUCCUGUCUGAAUAUGGGGGGACCAUCCUCCAAGGCUAAAUACUCCUGACUGACCGAUAGUGAACCAGUACCGUGAGGGAAAGGCGAAAAGAACCCCGGCGAGGGGAGUGAAAAAGAACCUGAAACCGUGUACGUACAAGCAGUGGGAGCACAGGUUUACCUGUGUGACUGCGUACCUUUUGUAUAAUGGGUCAG